rnacentral:lncRNA from 1 species
CCUGGACCCUGAGGGUCACAGGGAUCCUGAGGUCACGUGACUCCUUGUGGUCCUGCAGCUCGGCUUAGCCUGCUGAGUUGCCGCCAUUCCGUGCGGAAGACUUUAGAACUGCAGUGCGCCCCCUGGCUCAGGGGGAACUCUGUGAGACUCGGGCUCGGAUCGCAAUCUCUCCACCAACUUGUAUAUCCUGCUGCGGUCUGCAGUGUCCGCAUUUCCAAGUUUGUUCUGCAAACACCAGGGCCAAGAAAGAGCAACAACAAAAAUGUACUCUACUUUACAGAAGGAUAGGACAAACAGGACUGAAGUGCAACUGAACAGACAUGAUGGCAUUGACCAAAAACAACAGCACUGCUAGGCCACACCUCUCUUCCAAACGAAAGAAGCUCAGACUGGACUUUUGAGCGUCCGUUAUAUUCAAGAACAAAAAUUAGAAACUAGGACCUGAUGGCAGAUGAAAAGACUGUUUAUUGAUCAUUUGCUUAAUAAAAACUAAUCUCGUGUCUUUCCA